AGUCGAACGAGAAAGUGGAGCAAUCCAUGAGUAAAGUGGCGUACGGGUGAGUAACACGUGGAUCAUCUGCCUUUUAGUGGGGAAUACCGCUGGGAAACCGGCGACAAUACCGCAUAAGCUCGAGAGAGGAAAGCCGAAAGGCGCUGGAAGAGGAGUCCGCGGUCGAUUAGCUAGUUGGUGAGGUAAUGGCUCACCAAGGCUGUGAUCGAUAGCCGGCCUGAGAGGGCACACGGCCACACUGGCACUGAAACACGGGCCAGACUCCUACGGGAGGCAGCAGUGGGGAAUCUUGCACAAUGGGGGCAACCCUGAUGCAGCGACGCCGCGUGAGCGAUGAAGCCCUUCGGGGUGUAAAGCUCUUUCGGCAGGGAAGAUUAUGACGGUACCUGCAGAAGCAGCUGCGGCUAACUACGUGCCAGCAGCCGCGGUAAUACGUAGGCAGCAAGCGUUGUUCGGAGUUACUGGGCGUAAAGGGUGCGUAGGCGGCUCGAUAAGUAUGGUGUGAAAUCUCCCGGCUUAACUGGGAGGGUGCGCUAUAGACUGCCGGGCUAGAGUGUGGGAGAGGAAAGUGGAAUUCCUGGUGUAGCGGUGAAAUGCGUAGAUAUCAGGAGGAACACCGGUGGUGUAAACGGCUUUCUGGACCAUAACUGACGCUGAGGCACGAAAGCGUGGGUAGCAAACAGGAUUAGAUACCCUGGUAGUCCACGCCCUA
rnacentral:rRNA from 1 species